rnacentral:tRNA from 1 species
GUUUCCUUAGUGUGGUGGUUAUCAUAUCUGCCUAACAUGCAGAAGAUCCUGGGUUCGAAACCCAGCUGAAACA